ACCCGCUGAACUUAAGCAUAUCAAUAAGCGGAGGAAAAGAAACCAACAGGGAUUGCCUCAGUAGCGGCGAGUGAAGCGGCAAAAGCUCAGAUUUGAAAUCCGGUGCGGUUCCCGCGCCCGAGUUGUAAUCUGGAGAGGAUGCUCCGGCGAGGCCUGCCGCCAAAGUUCCUUGGAACAGGACGUCUUAGAGGGUGAGAACCCCGUACCCGGCGGUCCGGCUUAGCCAUGUGGUGCUCCUUCGACGAGUCGAGUUGUUUGGGAAUGCAGCUCAAACUGGGUGGUAAAUUCCAUCUAAAGCUAAAUAUCGGCGGGAGACCGAUAGCGCACAAGUAGAGUGAUCGAAAGAUGAAAAGCACUUUGAAAAGAGAGUUAAAAAGUACGUGAAAUUGUUGAAAGGGAAGCGCUUGCCAUCAGAAUCGGUGCCGGUCGAUCAGCGUUCCUUCUGGUUCGUGCACUCGGCCGGUAUCCGUGCCAGCAUCGGGUGGCCGCGGCGGGACAAAGGUGCCGGGAAAGUGGCUCCCCUCGGGGAGUGUUAUAGCCCGGCGCGUAUGCCGCCAGCUGGCCACCGAGGACCGCGCUUUUGGCAAGGAUGCUGGCCUAAUGGUUGUAACCGACCCGUCUUGAAACACGG
rnacentral:rRNA from 1 species